rnacentral:rRNA from 1 species
UACAGAGGGGGCAAGCGUUAUUCGGAAUUACUGGGCGUAAAGGGCUCGUAGGCGGCCAACUAAGUCAGACGUGAAAUCCCUCGGCUUAACCGGGGAACUGCAUCUGAUACUGGAUGGCUCGAGUUUGGGAGAGGGAUGCGGAAUUCCAGGUGUAGCGGUGAAAUGCGUAGAUAUCUGGAGGAACACCGGUGGCGAAGGCGGCAUCCUGGACCAACACUGACGCUGAGGAGCGAAAGCCAGGGGAGCAAACGGG